AGAAUCAACGCUGGCGGCGUGCCUAACACAUGCAAGUCGAACGAGAAAGUGGAGCAAUCCAUGAGUAAAGUGGCGCACGGGUGAGUAACACGUGACUAACCUACCCUUGAAGUGGGGGAUAACCUAGGGAAACCUGGGCUAAUACCGCAUAAUACCUUCGGGUCAAAGGAGCAAUUCGCUUAAGGAGGGGUCGCGGCCGAUUAGUUAGUUGGCGGGGUAAUGGCCCACCAAGACUGUGAUCGGUAUCC
rnacentral:rRNA from 1 species